AAAGUCUUCCGGUUCCGGGGGAAGUAUGGUUGCAAAGCUGAAACUUAAAGGAAUUGACGGAAGGGCACCACCAGGAGUGGAGCCUGCGGCUUAAUUUGACUCAACACGGGGAAACUCACCCGGCCCGGACACCGUAAGGAUUGACAGAUUGAUAGCUCUUUCAUGAUUCGGUGGUUGGUGGUGCAUGGCCGUUCUUAGUUCGUGGAUCGAUUUGUCUGGUUUAUUCCGAUAACGAGCGAGACUCUAGCCUACUAAAUAGUAACGAGAUUAUCAAUGUCUCAGUUGCUUCUUAGAGGGAUUUUCGGUGUUUAGCCGCACGAGAUUGAGCAAUAACAGGUCUGUGAUGCCCUUAGAUGUCCGGGGCUGCACGCGCGCUACACUGGCGAAAUCAGCGUGCUGUAUCCAUUCUCGAAAGGGAUUGGUAAACCCAUGAAAAUUUGCCGUGCUUGGGAUCGGAAAUUGCAAUUAUUUUCCGUGAACGAGGAAUUCCAAGUAAGUGCGAGUCAUCAACUCGCUCUGAUUACGUCCCU
rnacentral:rRNA from 1 species